UAUUAGGAAGCGAUUAUUUUGCGAUUGAUUUCGGCUCAUUUGUAGGCUGUAAGUUAGCCUCUAAUAU
rnacentral:tRNA from 1 species